UAUAAUCGAAUUUAGGUAUUAAAUUUUGAAUAUAAUAGAUUCAACUACAUAUUUGUUGUUGAGCGUUUGCAUUCAACUAUAGAUAUAAUAAAAUACAGUGAACUCAUUCACAGGGCAUACAGUCAUUGUCACUGACCCAUAAUUUGAACUGUUGAGCAGAAAAAUAAGCAGAGUUUUCGCCAGUUGCCGUUUCGAGGAGGAACACCCGUAAAAAACCAUCUCAUACCGGUAGAAAUCCAGAGUUGACACGCAAGAUAUCGAUGCUGCCUGCCCGUUUGGCCACCCAGGUGGCCCGCCAGCUGCCGAGAACCGCUACCCAGGUUGCCAAGCUGGCCGUGCCGGCUCGCAACCUGCACAUCUCGGGGGUAAACCGCGGUGCCGAGAUCUCUUCCAUCCCGAAGGCUGAUCUGGAGGAAAAUGGUCGCGUAUUGGAUUCUUAAUCAAUUUCAAGGCCUUUGUUCCAAGCAGACACUUUCAGCGCUUCGAAAAGGCUGUGUAUCGGCAAAUAGUGUUCCCUGAGCAGCACGACGGGAGGUGCACUUCAUUAACAUCCAAUCCGUCCGCUGACCGAAAUUGAAAAUGUAGGAAAAGGUGCAACAGGAAAAAUCACCAGAUGUGGGCCAAUUGCCGUACCGAUCCCGGGCAGAGUAAGGACAACCCGGUUAAUCUUUUCUCAUUUGAUGGCGGUGGGGACCGGUUUCAAGAAGAACAAGGAGGAGGAAAUAAAUAGUAAAUCAUUCGCAACAUCAGCAGUUCGGGGCCAAAUGUACCGAUUGGUUCCGCACUGGAAGCUUCCGGAAGGUCUUCGAACAUUAUUUCACCUGAGUGGAUAUGCUUUCGCGCUGAGUCACUGGGAGUCUGACCGAACAUGCAUGCCAUUUUUAUUGUACUGCAACAGUGUAUC